GAUGAACGCUGGCGGUGUGCUUAAGACAUGCAAGUCGAACGAGGUCUUCGGACCUAGUGGCGGACGGGUGAGUAACACGUUAGUACCUGCCCUAAAGUGGGGAAUAACUCGGCGAAAGUCGAGCUAAUACCGCAUGUGACCGUUUACGGUUAAAGCCUUCGGGCGCUUUAGGAGGGGCGUUGCGCUAGAUUAGCUUGUUGGUGGGGUAAGUGGCCUACCAAGGCGACGAUCUAUAGCUGGUUCGAGAGGACGACCAGCCACACGUGGACUGAGAUACGGCCACGACUCCUACGGGAGGCAGCAGUCAGGAAUAUUCCACAAUGGGCGAAAGCCUGAUGGAGCAAC
rnacentral:rRNA from 1 species